CCUACGGGCGGCUGCAGUGGGGAAUCUUGGACAAUGGGGGCAACCCUGAUCCAGCGAUGCCGCGUGGGUGAAGAAGGCCUUCGGGUUGUAAAGCCCUUUAGGCUGGGAAGAAGAGUAUGGGGUGAAUAAUCCUGUACUUUGACGGUACCAGCAGAAUAAGCACCGGCAAACUCUGUGCCAGCAGCCGCGGUAAUACAGAGGGUGCAAGCGUUAAUCGGAUUUACUGGGCGUAAAGGGCGCGUAGGCGGUUAUGUGAGUGUGAUGUGAAAGCCCCGGGCUUAACCUGGGAAGUGCAUCGCAAACGACAUAACUGGAGUAGGUGAGAGGGUGGCGGAAUUUCCGGUGUAGCGGUGAAAUGCGUAGAGAUCGGAAGGAACGUCAAUGGCGAAGGCAGCCACCUGGCACCAUACUGACGCUGAGGCGCGAAAGCGUGGGGAGCGAACAGGAUUAGAUACCCCGGUAGUC
rnacentral:rRNA from 1 species